CUUUUAUGAUGGAGCAAGGCAAAAUUGUUCGGAACUUGAUUCAAGGCCCCUCGAAAUAAAUUCAAACAAGGAAAAGAAGUUUGUUUCCAACGCUGUCGAACGAUACGUAACAUACUGGAUUGGAAAAUGCGCAGGCAGGAAUGUGGCCUCUGAUCUUGUGUACGAGUUAAGCUAUGAAACGCCCACCUGCAUUAAGUGCGGAUCGAGUUACCGUUACAGUUGCAAAAGUAAAUUCAGAUUCAUCUGCGAGAAGACGGCAUAUUUAUACCCGGAUAUUCCUGAAGAGGUCCAAGGUCUCUGUCAACUGCCUUUCGAGCCGAAUUCAAUCAAGUGUCUUCACCCCACUUCUCCCCAUUCAAUCUAGCUCACCUUCAAUCUCCAUUCUUUCAUCAUCUCCUACCCUCACUUCCCCUCCUUACUACCCCAGCCUCCACUACUCACAUCCCCAUUCUGCACCCUACUCUCCUUCUCCAAACCUAGACCGCUCUUCUCCCCUUCCUGCCCCGAACUACCCCACUCCCUCCAUUUACUCCUCCUUCCUACCGACUCCUCUUCUCACUCUGCCCUUCUUCUCACAAACUCAUUCCGCUUCUCCCCAUCUACCUCUGUCUCAUACCCCAGUCCCUGCCUCUCCUCUCUCCGUUCUCUCCACCCACUCUCACGUCAAUACUGUGCAUACAAGCUCUCGAUGCCCCAAACAAGUGGAAAAAAGGCUGUGUAUUCACCCUAUCUAUGCCUCCCCUGGCUUCAUACCCACGCUCCAAGGAAAAAAGUCCCAACCUUCUUGUCUUUUCUGCUUAACUCAGACCCUCGAGUUCCGGCAACAUCCUCGUCAAUCUCCCUCUGCGCUCCUUCCAUCUCAGUGGCAUUUUUCCUACAGUAGGGCGACCAGAACUGAACACCGCCCUCCAAGCACGGCCUCACCGACGACGUGCACAACUACAACGUGACUUCAGUGCGGUGCAAAGAUGUGAAAAUAACGUAAA